rnacentral:rRNA from 1 species
GACGAACGCUGGCGGCGUGCUUAACACAUGCAAGUCGAACGGAAAGGCCCUGCUUUUGUGGGGUUCUCGAUUGGCGAACGGGUGAGUAACACGUGAGUAUCCUGCCCUUGUCUUUGUGAUAUCUUCAGGAAACUGGGGCUAAUACCGCAUAGGAUCUCCUGCUGCAUGGGGGGGGUUGGAAAGUUUCGGCUGUUGUGGAUGGUAUCGCGGCUUACCAGCUUGUUGGUGGGGUAGUGGCUUACCAAGCCUUUGACGGGUAGCCCGCAUGAGAGGGUGACCGGCCACAUUGGGACUGCGAUACGGAGCAGACUGCUACGGGAGGCAGCAGUGGGGAAUCUUGCACAAUGGGCGGAAGCGUGAUGCAGAAGCGCCGCGUGCGGGAUGCCGGCCUUCGGGUUGUAAACAGCUUUCGACUGUGACGAAGCGUGAGUGACGGUAAUGGGUAAAGAAGCACCGGCUAACUACGUG